AGGAUUCUGACAUUUUUGUCAAAAUUCUGGAAAAGAAGAAAAAAAAAAGACAUGCCCACUUUUUUUCCCAGUGGCCCUAAUCCUCUUCUGUAGGACAUCGUUCAAUAAGUGAAUUCAUCAGAAAUUAAAUUCAAUUUAAAAAUUAAAAAAAAAAACAUUUUAAUUUAUUUCAGUGCCUAAUGUUAAAUAAAACUAUUUAUGUAGCAUAAUUUCAAAACUCUAGAUUUGUGGCUUUUAAAUGAAAUGUCAAACCUUCUUCUAGAGACAAUCGCACACUGUGGCCACAAGAUGUCAGUAUUUGAAGGGAUUGUGCAAGCAGCCAACUAGACAGAAUGCCUAUUGAGGUACAGAGAGACACGCUUUGACUUUGGUUUAAUUGAAGUGUAGAUUUCACUUUACAAGAACUACUUACUUUGAUUUUCUAAGGAACGCCACUGCUUUAGAUAAAGAAAUACAGUGAUAUGUAAGUUGUUCGUUUGUGGCUGAAUGGUCGAUACUCAGCGAUGUUAGUUGUUAAUAAGUUGCUGUGUUUAGUGUAAGCUAAAAUAUUAUUAAAGCACCGUUGAUUUUUAGUUGUGAUGUAAGUGGUUUUUCAAAAGUGGUCAAAAAAUGACCACUAAUUUUCAAGACUGAUUAAAUGAAAGCUAAUGAAUCUAGAUUUAGACUGCGAAGUUGAUUUAACAUACUGGCUUCAACUUUUGUUUGUUGUGGUGGCAGUGAUGUUGUGUUUCUUUAAAUAGUUAAAAGACAGCUCUGCAGGAAAAAAGGUGUAAAUGAAAUGCAAACACAUGAAGAUAUAGUCGAUAUCAUUUAAUCCAUUAAGUGUGAGUAAUGUGAUCGAAAGUGGUGACAAUGGUAAUGUUAUGAAUUAAAAUGAGAUAUUGUGCUACACAAUGUUGCUUCAUUUGUUCAUCUGUCCAAAGUAUUUGCUAAGAAAAAAACACUUAAAAUGAUAUUUUAUAUCCCUCUACAUGACCUCAGGAGGACUUUGUCUGAAGAGCAUGUUUCUCAUUAGGACUUCCUGACUGCACAUAUGAUGAACUGGUUUAAAGUUGGUUCUUAAACCAAAACCAAAUUUAUUUUGGUUUCCAGAAAUCUCUGAGCAUCUGAGCACGUUGUCCAGUUUCAAUAUAUAUUGCGCACACACACAUAUUAUAAAUAAAAAUAAAAAUUUGUUUUAGAAACUGCAAUGAAACGGUUCAGUCUUCCCCAAGAUCCACCAGUACAGAUUCUUCUAGAAGAGCAGCCGGACACUGCCUUAGCUGUUGGAAAAACAUACCUGAAUACCUACAACUUUCAAAACCAGAACAAGAAUCAAAGACGUAUGCGGUUGGAGAAUUGCAACAGCGAUUGCAGCUAUAACAUCACUUUGGCCCACCCGAAGAAAGAUGCUAACCAGUUGUUUGUGUGUGGAACCACUGACGAUGAAACAGUUUGCUGUAACUCGAAUUUGGCAGAGCAGUCACCGAUAUGCAAGGAUAUAAAAGAUAUAAGCUCGUUUAACAUAAAUGAGGGUGACCUGUCGGCCCUUGCAGAAUCUGAACAAAGUACAGAUCUCUACAUAACACACUCUGGAUCUGAUGAAUCUGUUGGCAUUCACAAAUUUGGUAAAGCAAUAGUGGGGCCAAAGAACCACCAUAAAGAGCAGCAUUAUGUAGGAUUGGUGCUCAGCAAACGUGAGGAUCCCUCCCAGAACAGAGUUUAUGGCUUCUAUAAGGAGAAAACCGAAGACACUGGACUGUUCAGUGAAAUGUGGCUCCCCUUUGUGACCCAGGUUUGCAUGACAGAUGUUGGUGGUCCUAGGAACAACAUGCAGUUUACCUGGACAUCCCAGAUGAAUGCCAGGCUCUUCUGUGGAGACCCUGAGAGAAAGCAGCGUUUCUCUGAACUGGUAGAUGUGGCCACUGUGCAAUCAGAUCGGUGACAGGAUACUAAGAUCUACGGACUUUUUAGAAACAAAUGGUAGACCUCUUGUAUAACUCUUAAAUAACUUGUACUGGCUCCAAAUCCCUCAGACCAGAGUGCAACUAUCUUUGUCUUGUGUGUGUAUUUGUUCUUUUUCACUCAUAUUAUGUAUUUUUUUAUUUUUUUUUUAAAUUCUGCCACUUACUGCAAAUAAUAGCAAUAUUGCUACAAAUAUCUCAGGCUAAAUUUGUCUCCCUGCAGGGGAAUGAGUGCUGUCUGCAUCUACACAAUAGGAAACAUCAGUAACAUCUUCAAAAACUCCCCAUUCAAAGGCUACACAAAAGACCAAAUGGACAGAUCAAGGACGGAAUUGAAUAUUGAUAAUUGAUAAAAUGUAAUAACUGGUGCCAUCACAAAAACAUUCCAACCUUUUUUGGAGGGAGUAUAUAGACAAGAAUAGAAUAGCCCUUUAUUAUAAUUUAAAACAAGUGGUUAAGUGUAGUCAGAGUAAAAAAUUGCUCAGGCUUUUAAAUAUUUUCUUUCAGCUUAAGACAGCUUAAGAUAAACACUGGACUCGUUAAAAGCCUAAAUUAGAAGGUUUUAAAUGUUUUUUUUAAACAGUCAUCUUAGAAACUUAAAAAGUAAACCAGAGACAGGUUUUCAGGCUUAUUGACAAGUCAUCUGGUGUUCAGCCAGUCUAAGUUAAGCACUUCAUUUCUUCAGUGCGUUGAUGAUACCACCAAGCUUCCAAUGGACACCCUGAAGAACAUUGACAAGACUUCGGAGAUGGAGCAGUUGGUUCUUCCUGUGGGUACCUCUGGCCUUCUUCUCUUUAAUCAUCACAAGUAUACCCACAUCCAUGUUGACAGUAAACCAAACAGCAGAAGUAGAAAUCAGAACGUCAUCUUCUUAUCUUUAAACAAUGGAGGGAUUCAUAAAGUGCUGCACAAUGAAAGUCGCACCUUUGUCAUCGCUGAGUAUUGACCGUUCAGCCACGCACGCGUCCUCCGCCUCAUCCUUCACCAAUCUUCUAAAAAGCUGUAUGUGAAUAUUGCAAGUGAACUGGUCCAACUUGAUGUAGCAAACUGUUCCCAGUAUGGAGACACCUGCCAGGACUGUAUGCUAUCCAGAGAUCCCUACUGUGGCUGGGAUGGCACCCACUGCACACCUGAUGCAAAUGGGAGGUGGCACAAUGCAACAACUGGGAACCUUGGCAUCUGUGGAGACGACACUACACAAGAAUUUACAAGUCCCAUUCCAAAUCCAGAAAAGAAUGAAGUCAGACUUCAUGCAAAGCAUUUUCUGCGGUGCUCAAUGUCAUCUCGUCAUGCUCAGUACAGUUGGCAGCACCUUCAAAACUCCUCAUCUUGCAUCUGGAAGGCAGAUCAGUGCCUUUAUUUGAUCAACAGCAUGGGACCUGAGGAGGAAGGAAACCACACCUGUGUAUCAGAGGAAAUGGGUUACAGGAAAGUCUUGGCACAGUACCAACUACAGCUCCAGGAACUACUGGAGAGCAAGGCAGUGGGCCAACAGUUAAACCCAAUCAUCUGGUGUUGUCUAAGUGUGGUUCUGAUUCAGAGUUUCUCAUGUUAAAGCCAAAGUAUUAUAUUGUUAUAUAUUAUAAAAUCUUAAAUUUGCAAAUGAAGGACCAUAAGUCCCUAUUGUUUCCUCUUUUUACUAAAAAAAUUAAAUCUCUACAUUUCUGAUACAU